AAAAGUCGUAACAAGGUUUCCGUAGGUGAACCUGCGGAAGGAUCAUUAACAUAUAGGAUACCAAAGAAAACAACCACCUUGUGUGCAUUUAUUAAAAAAAUAAUUUUCUCGAAGGAAAAAUCGUUUUCUUUUUUGAAAAUAUAUAAUCAACUCUUCUUUUUUUGAACCUGAACAAAAAUUUUUGAUAUAACAAAAAUUAAACAACUUUCAACAACGGAUCUCUUGGCUCUC
rnacentral:misc_RNA from 1 species